rnacentral:rRNA from 1 species
UACGGGGGGGGCAAGCGUUGUUCGGAAUUACUGGGCGUAAAGGGCUCGUAGGCGGCCAACUAAGUCAGACGUGAAAUCCCUCGGCUUAACCGGGGAACUGCGUCUGAUACUGGAUGGCUGGAGUUUGGGAGAGGGAUGCGGAAUUCCAGGUGUAGCGGUGAAAUUCGUAGAUAUUCGGAAGAACACCAGUGGCGAAGGCGACACACUGGCCCGUUACUGACGCUGAGGCGCGAAAGCGUGGGGAGCAAACAGG